AAAUUGAAGAGUUUGAUCAUGGCUCAGAUUGAACGCUGGCGGCAGGCCUAACACAUGCAAGUCGAACGGUAACAGGAAGCAGCUUGCUGCUUUGCUGACGAGUGGCGGACGGGUGAGUAAUGUCUGGGAAACUGCCUGAUGGAGGGGGAUAACUACUGGAAACGGUGGCUAAUACCGCAUAACGUCGCAAGACCAAAGAGGGGGACCUUCGGCCUCUUGCCAUCAGAUGUGCCCAGAUGGGAUUA
rnacentral:rRNA from 1 species